rnacentral:rRNA from 1 species
UUGAAAGGGAAACGAUUGAAUUCAAUUGUACCGNCGAGAAAUCAACUUUUCGAAUGUGCAUUGGUGGGCGUAUGAGAGCUUCACGUCCUUGUUGUUUGCAAUAUGUAUAUUUCUUUGGUGUACUUUUUCGUAUGGUAGGUCAAUUUCGCUUCAGUUCCCCAUAAAAUGAUAGGACGAAAGUGACUUCGGCCUCGGUUGAAGUGUAUUACCCUAGGUAAAUGUGGUGAUUAGGACCGAGGAUUGCAACGAAUACCUUUUAGGCUAUCCGUCUNGCUCUGAAAGUUACUUGGGUGACGAAAGCUUGCUGACGUCCAUAUAAUUCGCCGGUCAAAAGGCUAGAGCGUGAUCAAAUUCGUUAAGGAUGUUGACGUA